GCUGCCGUAGGGUAGGAGGAGAGAGGUGCUACCUUACCAGCUGCCUCCUCUCCCAUCCUCUCCUUCUGCAGAAGC
rnacentral:pre_miRNA from 1 species